CCUUUGACGUUAGCGGCGGACGGGUGAGUAACACGUGGGUAACCUACCUAUAAGACUGGGAUAACUUCGGGAAACCGGAGCUAAUACCGGAUAAUAUUUCGAACCGCAUGGUUCGAUAGUGGAAGGUGGUUUUGCUAUCACUUAUAGAUGGACCCGCGCCGUAUUAGCUAGUUGGUAAGGUAACGGCUUACCAAGGCGACGAUACGUAGCCGACCUGAGAGGGUGAUCGGCCACACUGGAACUGAGACACGGUCCAGACUCCUACGGGAGGCAGCAGAC
rnacentral:rRNA from 1 species